GCCCCGUGAAAGUCUAGUGGCGGUCUCCGUGCCCAAGACCUCCAGGCGUAUACCUGGAGAGGUAGAGUGGAUCUGCAGAGACUGGGUAUGAGGAUUUCUGGCAUGUGACUCAAUCCUCACUGCUCCUACCUCCCUAUUCUGCCCUCUUGGAAUCUGCUGGCCCUGAGAGAUCUGUGAAGAGAGGAGAAAAUGGCCCCUAGGUUCCUGGCAGCGAGACCCCAGUCGGAAUUUUGGGCAAAUCUUGUAGAGAUUGAAGAGGUAAAGAGAUAUUGGAAGAUAUUCUGGAGUAGGGUGUGAAGAUUCAAGAGUAGUCUUCGAAUACGUGCACCAUGAUAGGUCGUGGAGGUGUUUUGUGGGUGGGGCUUUGGAAGGUUCAGUUAUCAGGAAAUUGUAGAUACUAAGGAAAUCAAGAAAGAGAAGA